GGGGUUUUAGGCUGGGUUUCUGUACAGCACUUUGAGAUAUCAGCUGAUGUACGAAGGGCUAUAUAAAAAUAAAUUUGAUUUGAUUUGAUCCAUAAAGUUCCCCGCGGCGCCGGAAUCCACUAAAGCUGUAGACAGGGCAUGAGGGACAGUCAGCCAGAGUGAUGGGUACGACAAAGAGUCUAACAGGAAGAGCAGUAGAUGGAAUACUCACUCCUUGUCCAGGGGAUGUAACAUCACGUACCGUCUCUCAUCUCUAGUGGAUCCCGGAUUCUGAAGUAACGGACACCGCUAGCUUUUUUGCCCUCCCUGGCCAUAGUACAGACAGAGCCCCAGCUGUAUCCAUCUGCGUCGUUCCGCCGUGGGGAGGUGUGUGACCCGUACCUCCAUGGGUUCAGGCUCUGAUCCCGAACACUUGCCGAAGGAGGGAGAGAAGCGAUGAAGAUGCCGAAUCUCCCGGAGGAGGAUAUUCAGAUGGAUGGCCAUCGCAAUGAGUGCGUCCAGGGCCUCCUCACGCAGAGGACCUCCACACGCAGACCUCUUCUAAAUAACAUGCUGAGCGCCGGCUUAUUCCAUCCACUGGAAGCUGCUACUGUCAGGAAGGAUGAUCGGAAAUACAUUUAAACAGAGCCAUGAACCCCUCAUAAGACUCGAGCUCCUCCUCUCCUCUUUCCCAGAUGGCCGUAGCCCAUUCCAAUGUCCGCCCAGUCGGCAAAGAAAUAACCGUGGCAACCUUAGACCUGUCAGUGGUGGGGGCUCCCAUCUGAUGUGCGAAAUAGAGGGAGC
rnacentral:lncRNA from 1 species